rnacentral:lncRNA from 1 species
GAAAAACAAUCGUCUUUUCACUUUUAACAAGGUGUUGAUGUUGUGUUGGAAAUAGUGGGUUGAACCUGGAUUGAAAACUAAAUGAACGCCGUUAAAAUUUUAUAAAUCAAUCCCCUUCCCCAGAGAAAAAGAAAAAAAAACCAAACAAUACGACUUAAACACAAAUUAUAUCUAGAAUACAGACUGUAUUCGUUGUUAAUCACCUGCAGAUCUUUCAUUUAAAUUCAG